rnacentral:rRNA from 1 species
AUGAACGCUAGCGACAGGCUUAACACAUGCAAGUCGAGGGGCAGCGGGGGUAGCAAUACCCGCCGGCGACCGGCGCACGGGUGAGUAACGCGUAUGCAACUUACCUAUCAGAGGGGGAUAACCCGGCGAAAGUCGGACUAAUACCGCAUGAAGCAGGGGCCCCGCAUGGGGAUAUUUGCUAAAGAUUCAUCGCUGAUAGAUAGGCAUGCGUUCCAUUAGGCAGUUGGCGGGGUAACGGCCCACCAAACCGACGAUGGAUAGGGGUUCUGAGAGGAAGGUCCCCCACAUUGGUACUGAGACACGGACCAAACUCCUACGGGAGGCAGCAGUGAGGAAUAUUGGUCAAUGGCCGAGAGGCUGAACCAGCCAAGUCGCGUGAGGGAUGAAGGUUCUAUGGAUCGUAAACCUCUUUUAUAAGGGAAUAAAGUGCGGGACGUGUCCCGUUUUGUAUGUACCUUAUGAAUAAGGAUCGGCUAACUCCGUGCCAGCAGCCGCGGUAAUACGGAGGAUCCGAGCGUUAUCCGGAUUUAUUGGGUUUAAAGGGUGCGUAGGCGGCCUUUUAAGUCAGCGGUGAAAGUCUGUGGCUCAACCAUAGAAUUGCCGUUGAAACUGGGGGGCUUGAGUAUGUUUGAGGCAGGCGGAAUGCGUGGUGUAGCGGUGAAAUGCAUAGAUAUCACGCAGAACCCCGAUUGCGAAGGCAGCCUGCCAAGCCAUUACUGACGCUGAUGCACGAAAGCGUGGGGAUCAAACAGGAUUAGAUACCCUGGUAGUCCACGCAGUAAACGAUGAUCACUAGCUGUUUGCGAUACACUGUAAGCGGCACAGCGAAAGCGUUAAGUGAUCCACCUGGGGAGUACGCCGGCAACGGUGAAACUCAAAGGAAUUGACGGGGGCCCGCACAAGCGGAGGAACAUGUGGUUUAAUUCGAUGAUACGCGAGGAACCUUACCCGGGUUUGAACGCAUUCGGACCGAGGUGGAAACACCUUUUCUAGCAAUAGCCGUUUGCGAGGUGCUGCAUGGUUGUCGUCAGCUCGUGCCGUGAGGUGUCGGCUUAAGUGCCAUAACGAGCGCAACCCUUGCCACUAGUUACUAACAGGUGAUGCUGAGGACUCUGGUGGGACUGCCAGCGUAAGCUGCGAGGAAGGCGGGGAUGACGUCAAAUCAGCACGGCCCUUACAUCCGGGGCGACACACGUGUUACAAUGGCGUGGACAAAGGGAAGCCACCUGGCGACAGGGAGCGAAUCCCCAAACCACGUCUCAGUUCGGAUCGGAGUCUGCAACCCGACUCCGUGAAGCUGGAUUCGCUAGUAAUCGCGCAUCAGCCAUGGCGCGGUGAAUACGUUCCCGGGCCUUGUACACACCGCCCGUCAAGCCAUGGGAGCCGGGGGUACCUGAAGUCCGUAACCGAAAGGAUCGGCCUAGGGUAAAACUGGUGACUGGGGCU